GCCGGCGGCACGCAGCCUCGGGCUGGGGCCGGUCGAGGCAGCUCCGCUAAGCAGCCGCGCCAGCCUCAUGCCGAGCCCCGCCGGAAGAACCAAAGCCGAGGCGCCAGUUCCCCGCUCCGCUACACCGCCGAAUGAAAAAGCAAAUACUUGUAGUUGCAAUCCGAAGUCAGGACAACGGAAUCAAGAGGUCACAAUCCUUCUUUCAUGAUGGCUCAGAAAGCUGGAAGACACUCAACAUUGAGCCCUGGGCUCCAUGCCAUGGUUGCUAGGAGAAACAGCCACCAUGAGUCCAUCUUUCAGAUCUCAAGUGAACAGGAUAUCACAUUAAAAGACCCUCAAACAACAUAUCCUGAAAUGGCUUGGUGUCAUCUUCUACAAAAAGUCAUUCUCCAGCUGGGAUUGAGAACAAGGGGGAGUUAGCCAUAGAGCCAGGUGACCAGAGAUGGGAGACAAAGGGUGGGCUGCGAUUCCCAGAGCUCCAAGCCUUGUCCUGUCACACCAACUAUUACUGAUGAACAGAUGAGAAGAUCAUGCUAUAAGUCACCAACUCCGAUCACUGAUCAUACCCAGUCACCUUAGAAUUUAAAAUAAAAGAAACAAGCAUGCAAACCUUCAUCAAGCUGGAGCACAAAUGACAGGCCAGUUAUCUAAGCAUGGAGCAGUAUAGAGAGGGGUUAAGAGUACAGGCUUUGACAUCAGGCAGAGCAGGGCUUGAAUGUGGAAUCUGUCUCUUAACAGAUGAGUGACUGAGAGAGUUACUUGCUCUCUGAAUCUUAAUGUCCUCAUCUGUGAAAUGGUAGGGAUAAUAAAGCUCCCUCAUAGGACCAAUCCAGAGAAUGAAAUGAGAAAAUGCAAACAAAAUGUUUAUCAUAGUGCCAGAGAUACAAUAAGUACACAAUAAAUAAUUACUAUUUUAAAAAUAAGCAUAAAAAGCUUUCAAGGUUACCCACUAAGAUGCCAUUAUCUUUUGCAAUGAGUUUGGUUCUACUUGGCAUGAACACUGGCUGGUCCCUGGGUAAUAGCAGCUUCUAUUACCCAGGAGCACCUGCCAGGUCUCCUUAUUAUGUAAUAUACUAGGUCAUGAGGAAACGUCAGAAAACGUCAUUUGCCUCAACAAGCACUGAAUGACUCUGCCUUAUGUACUAUAAUGGUCGCUAACCAGCAAAAAUGCCAGUUUCCUAAGGACAGUAAUUAUUUUCCCCCUAAAAGUUAGUUUCUCUAAUUUGCAUUUAUGGAGACAUUAGAUAAAUCUACCAACAUACCUU